CCCGGAAUCUGGAAUUCCGCAAUUAGUUCAAACAGUGUGAGCAAAUUACGGGAACCACAUUGCCGGAAUUAGCUCAAGCUAUCUGAACUAAGGCACGUGCCACUUAUCGCCCGUGCCAAAUCUAACAUUGCACAGCCGAGAGAGAACGAAAGACCCCAUCCGCUUGAACCCUACUCCGUCGCGCCGGAACCCUAAAACCCUCACAAUUCCACCUUCCAGUUCCAAAGCAGCAGUUCAAACCAAACAAGAAGAAACCCAAGGAAGGAGAACAAGAAGAAGAGGAGGAGGAGGAAGACUUUCAUCAAACACCAAAUGGGCAAGCUCCCUCCCUCCAUGCGCUCCGCCAAGCUCCCCCUCGCCUUCCUCAAACCUCACCCUUCUCCCUCCCCAUCCCCCUCUCCCCCUCCUCCCAAACCCUACCGCCCUUCCCUCCUCAAAAACCCCCUCAAGAAGAAGAAGAAACACUCCACCCAAACCCCUUCUCCCCUCGCCUCCCCAUCGCCUCCCCCCAUCUUCCAAUCCCCCGCCCUCUCCGACGCCGUCGCCACCUUCGACUCCCUCUCCGCCGCCACUGCCGAGGCUGGCGCCUCCCUUGACCCCGCAACCCUCCUCCGCUCCUUCUGCGAUGCCGGCGCCUCCCCCUCCGAUGCACUCUGCCUCUUCCGCCACAUCUCCUCCCACCUCCCCCCCGACCGCCCCUGCUUCCACGUCCUCCUCGGUCACUCGUGCCUCCAACCCGCUGUCGGCGACAACGACGACCACCUCACCCCCGUCUUCAACGUGCUCGACCUAAUGUCCUCCUCUGGCUUCCCCCCAGAUGCCGCCUCCGCCGACCUCGCCGUCCGCGCCCUCUGCUCCGCCGGCCGCCUCGACGACGCCUGCGCCCUCCUCCGCCGCCUCUCCUCCUUUUCCUCCCCCGCCGCCGUCCCCCCCGACGUCUUCACCUACAACUUCCUUAUCCGCCGCCUUGCCCGUUCCCGCCCCAUCUCCUCCGUCUACGCCUUCAUUGACGAACUCCGCCGCUCCUCCGGUAUCCGACCCGACCUCGUCACCUACACCAUCCUCAUCGACGCCGUCUGCCGCGGGCGCAACCUCCGUGAGGCCACUCGCCUCCUCGGCGUGCUCGCCGAUGCCGGCUUCAAGCCUGAUUGCUACCUCUAUAACACUAUCAUGAAGGGUUACUGCAUAGUGGAUCAGUGCGGCGAGGUGAUGGAGGUCUACAACAAGAUGAAGGAUGAGGGAGUCGAGCCUGAUCUCGUCACCUAUAACAGCCUCAUAUAUGGGCUCUCUAAGGCCGGGAUGGUCGACCAGGCAAAAAGGUUCCUCAAUGUGAUGGCAAACACGGGUCAUUUCCCUGAUACGGUGACCUACACGUCCCUAAUGAAUGGGAUGUGCAGGAAAGGCGAUGCCUUGGGGGCGCUCAGGCUAUUGGGAGAGAUGGAGGAGAAGGGGUGCAGUCCAAAUGAGUGCACAUACAACACACUGCUAAUGGGGCUGUGCAAGGCCAAGUGUUUGGAGAAGGGGAUGGAGUUGUAUGGAGUGAUGAAGGCUGGAGGUAUGAAGCUGGAGAAUGCAGCUUAUGCCACAUUUGUGAGGGCGCUGUGUCGGGCGAAUAAGAUUGCAGAGGCAUAUGAGGUGUUUGGUUAUGCGUUGGAGAGCAAGAGCUUGACUGAUGUAUCGGCUUACAUGGCAUUGGAGAGCUCGCUGAAGUUCCUGAAGAAGGCGAAAGCAUAAUUUAUGCACAUCCAUUGAACCUACCAGCUGCCCGGUGCCACCAUCAUCAAGUCCUCCCUUCUCUUCACUUUUCCAAGCCCUCCUCCCACCAACUAUGGAUGAGCUGUUGCCCUCCUCACUGUUGCAAAUGGCUGCUCAGUCCGCUACAUCCGUAUCUUGACCAAGACAUGACAAAUUCAUCAUGUUCCAUCAUCAUUGGCAAGUUUGUCUCCUAGAUUCAGCCCCACAGCAAUGCUGCUUCCUUUGCUAUAUCUUUGCUGCCAUGGUGCCCUCCUCUUGCAGCCCAACUACGAGAAUGUAGUUGCCAUGUGCCCACCUCCAUUGGCAUCCUCAUGAUUAACUCUACCCCGCUGAUCACCAUCUAAUGGCUGGAUCCCAGUCAUUGGGAACAAUUUCAUGUCCGCAAUUGAGAAACCCAGAAAAUGAAAGGAUCUGGCUGGGGAAAUAGUGGCUGACAUUUUAUCUAGAUUGUACCAGUCAGUCCCUGUUAUCUUAUAGACAAGACUGAAAACCAUGUGCAUGAAGCUUGCUUGACAAAUUAUUAGGAAAAGUGAUUUUGCAUGGAGAUUAUUACCUGGAGUUUGCAGAUACUAGAGAGAAUUACUUGAAAAGACACUAAAUUUUCAUUAUUGCAUGUAGUGAUUUUACAUGAAAAAUAUAUCCCAAGAACUUACCAUCAGGAGCACUUAUCUAUGUUACAAGACAUGGUAGACUUAUGAGAACCUUGGUGAAAGUUUUAUUAAAGGAUUUUCAGAGACCUUCUUGGCAUGAUUGCAGAUAACCUGGAUGGUAAUAAUGGAAAAGGAUGUCUGGUGGAGCACUAACUGAUAGAACACAUCUUGUCGGUCAUUGUUUAGUUCUGCUAGCAAGAGCAUGAAUAACCAAACUGAGGCACUCUUGUAUCUGUAUUGCCAUCAGCAGAUUAUUGCUACGAUUUUUUGGCUAUUCCCUCCUGGCAUUUGAUUUUUAAUACAGGUCAGUGGAAGCAACUGCUAAAUUGUGCAUGCAACUUGUCUGGAGAACCAACUUCGAGCUUGCUGUCUGCUCCAAAUGGAUAUUGGGAUCAGCAAUGUUGUAUUAAAAUCUUUUAUAAACUGUAACAAAAAAAGGGAAAAUCUUAUAUAAACAAUCAUUCUUUUCCUGACAAUGCCAUCAUCAGUUCCUCUCAUGUACUAUUAUCGAGAUGUUUUAUUCCAUUUUGGAAGAUGUAAUCAUUCUUUUCCUGAUAUUGCGAUCAUUAGUUCCUCUCA